GAAGAGCCAGACUCUGCUGGGCCUGUAA
rnacentral:sRNA from 1 species